rnacentral:tRNA from 1 species
AUUUUUCUAGUAUAAAAAGUACAAUUGAUUUCCAAUCAAUAAGUUUGAAAGAUCAAGAAAAAUA